rnacentral:rRNA from 1 species
GACGAACGCUGGCGGCGUGCCUAAUACAUGCAAGUAGAACGCUGAAGGAGGAGCUUGCUCUUCUGGAUGAGUUGCGAACGGGUGAGUAACGCGUAGGUAACCUGCCUGGUAGCGGGGGAUAACUAUUGGAAACGAUAGCUAAUACCGCAUAAGAGUAGAUGUUGCAUGACAUUUGCUUAAAAGGUGCAAUUGCAUCACUACCAGAUGGACCUGCGUUGUAUUAGCUAGUUGGUGAGGUAACGGCUCACCAAGGCGACGAUACAUAGCCGACCUGAGAGGGUGAUCGGCCACACUGGGACUGAGACACGGCCCAGACUCCUACGGGAGGCAGCAGUAGGGAAUCUUCGGCAAUGGACGGAAGUCUGACCGAGCAACGCCGCGUGAGUGAAGAAGGUUUUCGGAUCGUAAAGCUCUGUUGUAAGAGAAGAACGAGUGUGAGAGUGGAAAGUUCACACUGUGACGGUAUCUUACCAGAAAGGGACGGCUAACUACGUGCCAGCAGCCGCGGUAAUACGUAGGUCCCGAGCGUUGUCCGGAUUUAUUGGGCGUAAAGCGAGCGCAGGCGGUUAGAUAGGUCUGAAGUUAAAGGCUGUGGCUUAACCAUAGUACGCUUUGGAAACUGUUUAACUUGAGUGCAAGAGGGGAGAGUGGAAUUCCAUGUGUAGCGGUGAAAUGCGUAGAUAUAUGGAGGAACACCGGUGGCGAAAGCGGCUCUCUGGCUUGUAACUGACGCUGAGGCUCGAAAGCGUGGGGAGCAAACAGG